rnacentral:rRNA from 1 species
UACGGGGGGGGCAAGCGUUGUUCGGAAUUACUGGGCGUAAAGGGCUCGUAGGCGGCCAACUAAGUCAGACGUGAAAUCCCUCGGCUCAACCGGGGAACUGCGUCUGAUACUGGGUGGCUUGAAUCCGGGAGAGGGAUGCGGAAUUCCAGGUGUAGCGGUGAAAUGCGUAGAUAUCUGGAGGAACACCGGUGGCGAAGGCGGCAUCCUGGACCGGCAUUGACGCUGAGGCGCGAAAGCCAGGGAGCAAAGCGGG